AACUGCGAGUGAAGCGGGAAAAGCUCAAAUUUAAAAUCUGAUGGUCUUUGGCCGUCCGAGUUGUAAUUUAGAGAAGCGUCUUCCGCGUCGAGCCAUGCACAAGUCUCCUGGAAUGGAGCAUCAUAGAGGGUGAGAAUCCCGUCUUUGGCAUGGACCUUUCGAUGCUUUUGUGAUGCGCUCUCGAAGAGUCGAGUUGUUUGGGAAUGCAGCUCAAAAUGGGUGGUGAACUCCAUCUAAAGCUAAAUAUUGGCGAGAGACCGAUAGCGAACAAGUACCGUGAGGGAAAGAUGAAAAGCACUUUGGAAAGAGAGUGAAACAGUACGUGAAAUUGUUGAAAGGGAAACGCUUCAAGUCAGUCGCGUCGACCGAGACUCAGCCUUGCCUCGGCUUGGUGUACUUCUCGGCUGACGGGCCAGCAUCAAUUUUGUUCCUCGGAUAAUGGCAAGGGAAAGGUGGCACCCUUCGGGGUGUGUUAUAGUCUCCUGUCGAAUGUGAGGGAUGGGAUUGAGGACCUCAGCACGCACCUCUCGGUGUCGGGGCUUCGGCCC
rnacentral:rRNA from 1 species